CAAAUCUGAAGGGAAGACCCUAGUGCGAGGAGCACUUUGUGAGACGAAAGAUUCGAAGAAGGGAAGUUAUACCUGUGAUUGGUGAUGGGAAUCCAGCACUGCUCCUGUACCUCCUUCCUAACGGUAACAAUGAGAACAAGGCAUGACCUGGGUGACUGGGGACCUUAAUGAUGGGCACUACUUUUUUUGAGGCUUCACUCCUUGAAGAUGUCCUGGAUACUAUGGAGACCCACUUGUUAGGAUCAUGACUUGGAUGUGGUCAUGAAGCAAAAAGAAGAUUGAGAUGAAUUUUCCAUGGGAGUCUGAAUGUAUGAAAUGCAGCAUGAAACAAGACCAUUGAGCUGUACCAUCCAGAAAACCAUUGAUUUAACCCGCUGUCUAAAUACAGGACAAUUUAUAAUGACCAAAUAACUUACUAACGCGUUAAGUCUUUGGAUUGUGGAGGAAACCAGAGUACCCAGAGGAACCCACGAACACAUGGGAAGAACGUACAAACUUUCUUAUACGGAGGAAGCCAGAACUGAACCCAUGAACUCUGAUGCCACGAACCGAGGUAGCGUCGUGCUAACCGCUACACUACCAUGUCACCCAAUCAAACUGAUGGCUUCAAGCAUAAGCCUCACAGUGAUGACUGGUGAUUCUUGAAGGUAAAAUAAAGCUUACACAAUACAUCUUUAAUGUUUCCUUACUCAGCCCAGAACCACCAAACGCAUGCAAAACUUUGUAUUUUGUAAAAUCUCUUCUGUGCACUCAUUUACACAUUAUUAUGAAAGCAAAAUAUGAGAAAUUACAAACAUACAAACUCUCACAAGGUUUUGUGAUGUGCCUUUUAAAUGAUCAAUUUCUGCAAGCUGUGGGAGAGGAAUGUCUUAUACAAUGUCACCGAAGACAAUUUGUUGCUCCAGUUUCAAUUCAGCUGCCAUCAGAGACGUGGAAUUCAGGCACUUCUGAUGCAUUUUGAUCUCAGUUCAAUUAUUUAUCCCUGCCAUAGUUAUGAAUGUACGUUCUCCUUCACAGUUUAUAACUGGCAGGGUCAGUAAGAGUUUCCAUAAAAUGCACACAUUAAGGAUUGCUGAAUAAAGGCUUCUUUGUUUUAGAAUUUUCAACAGUUUUGCAGAAUAUUUAUUUGCUCUUUCUGUACAUAAAAUCUGUAUUACGUGAAUUCAGCAAAAUUCUGUUCCAGUCAUUGGGUUCAAAUACUGCAAAUAUAGUGGCAUAUUUCUGAACAUGAGUGGUGUCCAACACGCUGUGUACACAUCCUCUCUGCAAUAAAAGCAGACUAAUAACUGGUCAAAUAAAACAUUGAAGAUUUCAGAACAAAACUGCUGGCUUCCCUCCUAGUCAAGUCUCGGGUUAUUGUGAUUCAAUGGCAAAAAUUGUUAGAUCACAUUUAUAAUUUUGUGAAAGAACUUUCACGCGUUUUAACUUCCAUUUUCAAAAUUCUGGAACUAAUCACCCAGGAAAGCUACAAUUGUUUCAAGUGACUGCAGUAAUCGAAUGUUUUACUCAGGAUGAUGUCCCUUUUCUAGCUGCCAGAUGAUCAUUUUAUUCUGUUGAAGAAUGCUAUCUCAAAAUUGUGCCAUUUAGCAUUUUCCUAUACCCUCAUCUUGUUGUGAGUGGAAGCAACUUCUGGUUGGAUGUCAUGUGAACAAUUCAUGUCUUUUGACAGCUUUUCUAGGGCACACUAAAUUUUACAAUAGUUUAGAGAUGGGGAUUUCACAGAAGCUCUAUGUUGAAUCUGACAGAUGCUUGAAUGUCAAAAAUGACAAGCUGCACUCAUGAAAAAAUUAUUUACAGCUAAAUUGUGGACACCAAGUUGAAAUGUUUAGUGACAGAAGAAACAAGGAAUUUUUUUUAAAAAAAGCAGUUGAACAAAUCUGGUGUUUUAAAUCAUGAUUUUGUUGGCCUUCUGCUAAUAAUGUACCAUAUUCCAAAUACAUACGGGUUAGGGUUAUGAGUUGCGGACAUGCUAUGUUGGUGCCAGAGACGUGGCAACACUUGUCGGCUGCCCAGCACAAACCUCGCUGAGUUGAUUUGA